AUUGAACGCUGGCGGCAGGCUUAACACAUGCAAGUCGAGCGGGGGAAGGUAGCUUGCUACCGGACCUAGCGGCGGACGGGUGAGUAAUGCUUAGGAAUCUGCCUAUUAGUGGGGGACAACAUCUCGAAAGGGAUGCUAAUACCGCAUACGUCCUACGGGAGAAAGCAGGGGAUCUUCGGACCUCGCGCUAAUAGAUGAGCCUAAGUCGGAUUAGCUAGUUGGUGGGGUAAAGGCCUACCAAGGCGACGAUCUGUAGCGGGUCUGAGAGGAUGAUCCGCCACACUGGGACUGAGACACGGCCCAGACUCCUACGGGAGGCAGCAGUGGGGAAUAUUGGACAAUGGGGGGAACCCUGAUCCAGCCAUGCCGCGUGUGUGAAGAAGGCCUUAUGGUUGUAAAGCACUUUAAGCGAGGAGGAGGCUACUUUAGUUAAUACAUGGAGAUAGUGGACGUUACUCGCAGAAUAAGCACCGGCUAACUCUGUGCCAGCCGCCGCAGUAA
rnacentral:rRNA from 1 species